AAGUAAGGGUUGCAGAGAUGAGGAUGUUGCAGUGGAUGUGUGGUAACUGGUAAGACUAGACGGGAUAGGAUUAGAAACAACAACAUUAGAGAGAGCAUUCGGGUAACACCUACAGUAGAAAUGAUGGUAGAAAUUACUAGGCUUAGGUGGUUUGGGCAUGUAUAGAGAAGACCUGUAGAUUUUGUAGUAAGGAGGGUAGUCAAAUCACUAGAAGCAGAGGAAGGCUUAGAAACACUAUAAGAGAAACUAUUAAGAAAGAUCUAGAGAUUAAUGAGCUGGAUAGAAAUAUGGCCUGUGAUAGAACAUAAUGGCGUCGUUUGAUCCAUGUACCCGACCCCACUUAGUGUACUAAGGCUUGUUGUUGUUGUUGACAAAACAAUAGUUCAUGCUGCAGUGAGCUUUGAAAACCACAAUUAAACAGAAACAUGUUUUUCUACAAAAAAGACCAUUGGAAAGAAACAGAGGGAACAAUAAUUUAGUUAAAGAGCCUGUAACUUGGGCUUUGUUUGCGAGUUUGGAGGGGAGGGGAAGGGAAGGCUUUGAGGAGUGGAAAAUAUGAGGGAAAAUGGAGAAAUCUUUCAAUUUUUUUUAAAAGAGUAGAGUCUUUUAGAGAAUGAUAAAUUAAUGCAUAUGAUUACUAUAUUUUUAAUUUUUAAAAUAAUAGAACAACAUAGAUUAAAUUUGAAGAGUUCAUAUAAACCGUCCAAAACCCUCCUCCAAUACAAUUUUUUAGUUCCCCCAAAUGAGGAGGGUUUAGUAUUAUGAAGAAAACGUAACCCCCCAAAGCCCUCCCCUCCCAUUUUCCUCUAUUUCUUCCACUUGCUCGUUCCUUUUUUUCCCAAGCCUUCCCCUCCCUUCCCCUCCAAACUCGCAAACAAAGCCUUGGUGGUUCGAUAUUAUCAUACUAACCUUAUUGCAUAACUGAAACUGCAGUCCUUGGUUAACGCAUACACUGAAUGCAGCAUAUGUGUUAUUGUUCAAAAGAGAAGAUUGGCCUCCAAAAGUUUUCUUCGGCAGUCUCUCCUUCCUCCGUUAACAGAUUCUGAGCUCGGUGCUGGCAAACCAAAUUCCUCAUAUUUUUUAGCUCAUUCAUUUUCUAUUCCUACAUUCUUGCAUCUGAAUCAGUUCAGUCAUUUUUUCUUUCUUCACUUUUUCUAUAGUGUUGUUCUAACGAUCUGCAGAAUCAAGGCACUCAUUGGCAACCUCUAUGUUCCUACAAACCCUCAAGUUGAACCGUCGAGGUAGAAGACGAUCCUUUGUUUUUGAUCCAUUACUAUUGCAGCUCCAUGUGCAGUGCAAUAUUGUGAGGUACAUGUGCAUUUCUAAACUUCUUUUGUUUUUGUGUUUAGGGUGCGCGCUUAUGUUUUUGUAGAUGAAUGGAAAUUGUUUUUGGAAAUUCAUAUCUGCUGAGGUUUGAAUGUUUAAAUAAAAUUUGAAGGCAGGCAGUUUAAGGAUCGAUAUUUGUCUUAAGCUCUGAUUGAAGUAGCAGUUUUUUUAUUUUCUUCGAAUUAAGAAAAAAAAGUGUGUUAAAUAUUUGUGAAACAACUGCCACUGGAAUUUCGAAAAUAUUGAAGUUGUUUGAGCUUGUUGAUUUGAGACACGUGAUCAAAUAACUCUGGCCUUAAAAUUGAUUGUUAAACUAACUGAGAAACAUACAAGUGUAUAAAUCUAGGUACAGGUAUCAAAGUUGAGCUACCUUGCUUAUGGAACCGUUUUACUGUAAACUCUAUUAGAUUUAGACAUAUAGAAUCAUGAGUUUUAGGAUAUGACUGAAUGAGUCUAUACCAUAAUGGUCAUUUUCUUGGGACAUGCCAAUAAUGACAAUGAUUUACAUGUUUUUUAUAAAACUCAAAAUGCAAAAGCUGAAUGUUAAGGUUUCUUAAAUGCGUAAACAUAAAUCUCAUAUUUGUAGCAUUGAGCUCCACCGAUGCAUCUAAUAUGUGCUUAUGGUGCUCUAGCUUUGUUUCUCACUCUAUUAUGCACCAUCCUUAUAAUAUAAUGCAAAACCUCUAGGCUUAUUCUUGGUUGGCCCAAGUUGGUUUUCUGAAUUGCACAGAAAAAUUGCUUUUCGCUUGAGUUUACGGUGCUCAUUAAAGAAGCCUUGCAAAGUUUCACACAUGCUUAAUUAUUUUUGAACUCUUAAGAUUGAUAAAAUGCAUUAAGUGCAGAAUUUGAAUUGCAUAAAGUAAACCAUGUCGGAUCCAUUCUACAUCUCGAGUUGAGCCGCCUUGAUAAUUUCUUUGAGAUCCUAAUUGCUUCAAGUUGUAUUAUCUCACUAUUGAGUGUUAUCUCUCUUUUGUUAUUGUGGUUUUUCUGUAGAGGGUGAUCGGUGUGGUAUCCAUUUUUAUUGGGUAGGUUGAGGUAUCCCUAUUUCCGUGUGAUUUUUAGGAUGAAAUAUACUUGAGGUUGUACUCGAGCGUGCUGUAAUAUGUUAGUUAUAGUCGUAGGAAAUCUUAGACGUUGUUUGGGGACAGGACGUAGGUCUCAAGUGUUUGGUGAUUGAACUAGGAUAAAUCAAACUGCACUAUGCUCUAACAUUUAUCUCUUAUUUACUAAAUUCUUGUUUUGAAUUUUACGUAUAUAUUUGUUUGUGAAAGUUGUGGUUUUUUGAGUACCUAUUGUUAUCAUUAGUUCAGUCAUUUCUUCAAAUUAAUAGUUUUUAAUUUUCUAACACGAGUAUCCUUCACAUAUUUUGGGAAUACAGCAUUGAGAGAAAUUGACUAAAAUGAAGAUAAACAGAACAUGCUAUAAAUAAUAAAAAUGUGGAGAAGGUGAUUGAUGUUGUGCUUGUUAGUUGUUACUAUAUUCCUGAUGAGUGAUAACAUUGGUAUCCUUUGAUACACGUGAUCAAAUAAUUUCUGCCUUGAACUUCGUUGUCAAACUCACUGAGAAUCGUAUGAGUAUAUAAAUUUAGGUAAUAUGUAUCAAAAUUGACGUAAGUUGCUUAAGAAGUAGUUUCUUCGUAAACUUGGUAGAUUCGUAUAAACUUAUAGAAUCACGCGUUUGAGGAUGACUGAAUAAGUCUAUAAUGUAAUGGUAAUUUUCUUAGGAAAUGACUAUAAUGACAGUGGUUCAGUGAUUUUUAAAAACCUAAAAAUAACAGCUGAAUAAUAAGGUUCUUUAGUGCUUACAACAUUAAUCUCUACAGAUGCAUCUUAUGUCCCAAGUGAACCCUGUAACUGGACUCGAUCUUGAAAUCGAUGUUUUAAUUAUAUGCUUAUAAAAGGCUCUAGCUCUGUUUGCACCAUCCUUAAGUUGCCUCAAGUUGUUUUUCAAAUUGCAUAAAGAAAUUAAUUUUCACUUCAGUUAACUCAGCUUAUAAAACACUAAAGAAGCGUUGUAAAGUUACUUAUGUGUUUAGAAAGUUUUUUGAGCAUGCAUAAUUUGAAUUGCUUAACGUAAACCAUGUUUGAUCUAUUCUACAUCUCUUGAGCCUCCUUGAUAAGUUUUCUGAUGUCGCAAGUGCUUCAAGGUGUUCAAAUAAUGCAGAAGUAUCUCUGUGAUGAAGAUGUUGAAAUUCCAAUAAUUAUUGUCCUGAUGACACAUAUACAUCCUUGGUAUAAUAUUUAAAUGUUCUGUCUGUAG
rnacentral:lncRNA from 1 species